rnacentral:rRNA from 1 species
UACAGAGGGUCUCAAGCGUUUGUUCGGAUUCAUUGGGCGUAAAAGGGUGCGUAGGCGGCGCGGUAAGUCGGGUGUGCAAAUCAUCGGCGUUAACUCCGAAACUGCAUUCGAUACUGCCGUGCUUGAGGACUGGAGAGGAGACGUGGAAAUUUACGGUGUAGCGGUGAAAUGCGUAGAUAUCGUAAGGAAGACCAGUGGCGAAGGCGGGUCUCUGGA